rnacentral:rRNA from 1 species
AUUGAACGCUGGCGGCAGGCCUAACACAUGCAAGUCGAACGAGUGGCGGACGGGUGAGUAAUUUCUUGGAAACUGGCUGAUGGAGGGGGCUAACUACUGGAAACGGUAGCUAAUACCGCAUACCAUCGGUUGGGCCCAGGUGGGAUUAGCUAGUAGGUGGGGUAACGGGUCACCUAGGCGACGAUCCCUAGCUGGUCUGAGAGGAUGACCGGCCACACUGGAACUGAGACACGGUCCAGACUCCUACGGGAGGCAGCAGUGGGGAAUCUUGCGCAAUGGGCGCAAGCCUGAUGCAGCCAUGCCGCGUGUAUGAAGAAGGCCUUCGGGUUGUAAAGUACUUUUAUCGGGGAGGCGUUACCCGAAGAAGAAGCAACGGCUAACUCCGUGCCAGCAGCCGCGGUAAUUC